rnacentral:rRNA from 1 species
AUUGAACGCUGGCGGCAGGCCUAACACAUGCAAGUCGAACGAGUGGCGGACGGGUGAGUAAUGUCUGGGAAAAUGCCUGAUGGAGGGGGAUAACUACUGGAAACGGUAGCUAAUACAGCAUACCAUCAGAUGUGCCCAGAUGGGAUUAGCGAGUUGGUGGGGUAACGGCUCACCAAGGCGACGCUCCCUAGCAGGUCUGAGAGGAGGACCGUCCACACUGGGACUGGAACACGGUCCAGACUCCUACGGGCGGCAGCAGUGGGGAAUAUUGCACAAUGGGCGCAAGCCUGAUGCAGCCAUGCCGCGUGUAUGAAGAAGGGCUUCGGGUUGGAAAGUACUUUCAGCGGGGAGGCGUUACCCGCAGAAGAAGCACCGGCUAACUCCGUGCCAGCAGCCGCGGUAAUUC